rnacentral:rRNA from 1 species
GUGUCAGCAGCCGCGGUAAUACGUAGGGUGCAAGCGUUGUCCGGAAUUAUUGGGCGUAAAGAGCUCGUAGGCGGUUUGUCGCGUCUGCUGUGAAAACGCGAGGCUCAACCUCGCGCCUGCAGUGGGUACGGGCAAACUAGAGUGCGGUAGGGGAGAUUGGAAUUCCUGGUGUAGCGGUGGAAUGCGCAGAUAUCAGGAGGAACACCGAUGGCGAAGGCAGAUCUCUGGGCCGUAACUGACGCUGAGGAGCGAAAGCAUGGGGAGCGAACAGGAUUAGAUACCCUAGUAGUCC